rnacentral:rRNA from 1 species
UACGUAGGUGGCAAGCGUUGUCCGGAAUUAUUGGGCGUAAAGCGCGCGCAGGCGGUCCUUUAAGUCUGAUGUGAAAGCCCACGGCUCAACCGUGGAGGGUCACGCGAUACUGCUCAACUCGAAGGCAGGAGGAGGGAAGUGGAAUUCCUGGUGUAGCGGUGGAAUGCGCAGAUAUCAGGAGGAACACCAACGGCGAAGGCAGCUCGCUGGGACGGUACUGACACUAAGGCGCGAAAGCGUGGGGAGCGAACAGG